CAUGUUAAUUCAUACAAUAAAUCCACGACCCCCAUUGGACGUUCGUCAAUAUUUUCUGGCAAUAUUUUAAGAAAGAAAGAUCUAAAUAAUUUAUUUUUUGAGAAAUAUUUUGUCUUUGCCGGAGUCACUUGGGUCUUAAUGGGACAUGCAUCUUGUUGAGUUGGUGUUUGGAUUUCAUUAGAAUCUUUUGAGUCUGCAAGAAUUCUAUACCUACAUAUUUAUGAUGGAAAUACAAAUUUUGGAUCAAGACUGUCUUUUGUAUCUAUUCAAAUUUAUCUCCCUUUUCGAUAUAAUGAACCUGCAAAAGUCAUCAUCAAUAUUUAAUGAUGCUAUUGAAGUGCAUUACCGCAAAGUAAAGAAAAUUGAAUGUACCAUAAGAAAUGUUUCAUUGGAGAAAAUUAAUGAUGUUUUAGAGAAAACUGGACCAUAUUUGAUAUCAUUUAAAUUUACCGGAGGACUCAUGAUGCAAAAUGAGUACAAAAGAUCGUUAGUCAUAACCAUAUCUAUUAAGUGCAAACUUUUAAAAAGUCUUACUCUCAAUUAUGUUCCUUUGGAAAAAUGUGAUUUUAUGGUUUUAAUGAGUGUGUUUCAAAAUUUGGAAACAUUGAAUUUGGGAAAUUGUCAGAUUCGAGAUGCUGAUAUAAAGUGCUUUCUUUCUAAGAUACAAAAUUUAAAACAAUUAACAUUGAUGGGAAAUCCCUUGUUUACUGGAGAAUGUCUGGUCAGUUCAAGCAAUCUACAAAAGUUAGAUGAUGUUAUAUGCUCAAUUGUGAAGAAGUAGUCUCAGUGUUAAUUGAAAACAUUAAUCAAAUUGAAGAACUUUUUAUGGAGAAUUUGGGAGCAAGUGAAAUGAAUUUACCUUAUGACAAAUUCAACUCUUUACAAAUUUUUGAAAUUAAGGGAAAUCGUUUGUGUACUUAAUAAAAAUAUUGA